UACGGAGGGGGCGAGCGUUAUUCGGAAUUAUUGGGCGUAAAGGGCGCGUAGGCGGCCCGCUAAGUCAAAGGUGAAAUCCCUCGGCUCAACUGAGGAACUGCCUUUGAGACUGUCGGGCUUGAGGCCGGGAGGGGGUAGCGGAAUUCCCAGUGUAGCGGUGAAAUGCGUAGAUAUUGGGAGGAACACCAGUGGCGAAGGCGGCUACCUGGACCGGUUCUGACGCUGAUGCGCGAAAGCGUGGGGAGCGAACAGG
rnacentral:rRNA from 1 species